UUUCCCUUUGGUCACAGGCCAGUGGGGCCCCUCGUGCUAUGCACACGUCUACUCUAAAGACCAGUGUUAGGUACUAUUUCCUGAAAGAAAUGGCCCCGGUCUUUCACAUAUUUAUCCUGAGAUGCCCUGGGGGGUGAGAUUGAGACUGAACAAAUACCAAAAUGUAAUUCCCAGACAUCAGGGACUGGAGGGAAGAGGAAACCUGAAGACUGCUGUGAAGUUACACUGGGUUCCCCCUGUUUGGAGGUGAGAUCAAGUAAAGGAUCCUGAUGAGUUUUUCACUUACCUUUUGUCAUGAAGCCCCUGUUCCAACUACUGCCUAUUCAUCAAGAAAUAUUCAGCUGAUUCCAAAGCCAUGGGCAGUUUUUAAAAGACUCCCUACCUCCCCACAUUUCCUCUAUUUUCCUUUCCUUCAUCUCCAAAUUUAAAAAUACAAAGGAAACCUGCAAAUG